rnacentral:rRNA from 1 species
CCUACGGGGUGCAGCAGUGGGGAAUAUUGGACAAUGGGCGAAAGCCUGAUCCAGCCAUGCCGCGUGUGUGAAGAAGGCCUUCGGGUUGUAAAGCACUUUCAGUGGGGAAGAAAGCCUUGGGGCUAAUACCCUCGAGGAAGGACAUCACCCACAGAAGAAGCACCGGCUAACUCCGUGCCAGCAGCCGCGGUAAUACGGAGGGUGCGAGCGUUAAUCGGAAUUACUGGGCGUAAAGCGCGCGUAGGCGGUCUGAUAAGCCGGUUGUGAAAGCCCCGGGCUCAACCUGGGAACGGCAUCCGGAACUGUCAGGCUAGAGUGCAGGAGAGGAAGGUAGAAUUCCCGGUGUAGCGGUGAAAUGCGUAGAGAUCGGGAGGAAUACCAGUGGCGAAGGCGGCCUUCUGGACUGACACUGACGCUGAGGUGCGAAAGCGUGGGUAGCAAACAGGAUUAGAUCCCGGGGUAGUC